GUGUCCACGCUCGGCGUGUCAUCGGCGUCGUGGACGGUGGUCGGCGCGGGCGCAGUGACCCUCGUCGUCUUCGCCGACGUCGCGGUAGCACUUGACGUCGUAGCUCAUACGCAUAUACGCCGGACGUAUAUAUUAGCCAAGCAUGUGUAUAUGGCUGAGCACACUCACAUUGGAGGAGCGCGGAUGCGGGGGGUGCAGCGGAAGGCGAGCGCGGCGGAGGAGCGGCGGCGGGCGAGCGCGGCGGUGGGCAAAGCAGCGGAGGGUGAGCUAGGCGAAGCGGAAGACAGUGGAUGGGAUGGGGAGCUCCCCCGUGCUCGGCCGCCACCACCGCCGUGCCCCCGCGGAUUCCGCUGA
rnacentral:lncRNA from 1 species